AUGGAGGAGGCAUCAUGGAGAAACUCCCCUCCGUCUGCCAAGCAUCACCGUGGUGAGGCGUCUGGCAAGGAGCCGCUGGUGGUCGACGACGAUGUUCCGGUCCCCGGGCAGAAGCAGGACUACACCGUGCCGCUCAUGGUUGAUAUCCACCUGAAGGAGAAGCUGGAUGUCGUAUGCACCAGCAAUCCAGACGAAGCCGACAAGAGGAUCCGCGACAUGAGGAGGAGGCUCGGCGGCAUGGUUUCUCGGUCGAUCAGCGUUGAUGUCGAGUAUACCAGGGAAGACGAACCUCCGCAAAUGGCUGCAGUUCUGCAGUUAUGCGUGGAGAAUCUCGUCCUGGUAUACCACAUCACCGCGGCAACCAAAUGGCCCAAGGAACUCCGCCCGCUCCUGCAGGAGAAGAAGCUGUACACCUUUGUUGGGCUCUCCAUUGGAGGUGACAAGGAGAAGCUGAAGUUGUCUGGUUUGGAGAUCAACCCCGGCAAGUACGUCGACAUGCAGCGCAAAUGGAGAGUUCCAAACAAUGGAAAGAAGUGGCAGUCUUUGGCUGAGUUUGCAGCCAGCCUCAUCCACCCAUCCUACAAGGAAAUGAAGGGGAAGAUGAACAAGAAAUUGGACCACAAACGAUGGGGGGACAGCCCACUGCCAAACAACCUCAUCGAGUACGCAGCGAAAGAUGCGUACGUCACCUACGAGGCAUGGAAGAAAAUCGAAACCGUCAAAGAAGGUUUGGAGCAAUGGCAAGAGGCGGAGGAUCAUUGGGAUGACCCCUACUACUGGGGAUAUUGA
rnacentral:rRNA from 1 species